AACGAACGCUGGCGGCAUGCCUAACACAUGCAAGUCGAACGAGACCUUCGGGUCUAGUGGCGCACGGGUGCGUAACGCGUGGGAACCUGCCCUUAGGUUCGGAAUAACUCCCCGAAAGGGGUGCUAAUACCGGAUAAUGUCUUCGGACCACAGAUUUAUCGCCGUUGGAGGGGCCCGCGUUGGAUUAGCUAGUUGGUAGGGUAAAAGCCUACCAAGGCGAGGAUACAUAGCUGGUCUGAGAGGAUGAGCAGCCACACUGGGAGUGGGACACGGCGCAGACUCCUGCGGGAGGGGGGAGUGGGGGAUAUUGGAAGAUGGGGGAAGGCCUGAUGGAGCAAGGGCGGGUGAGUGAUGAAGGCGUGAGGGUUGUAAAGCUCGUUUACCCGGGGUGGUAAUGACGGUACCGGGAGAAUAAGCUCCGGCUAACUCCGUG
rnacentral:rRNA from 1 species